rnacentral:rRNA from 1 species
AUACGGAGGGUGCAAGCGUUGUUCGGAAUUAUUGGGCGUAAAGCGCGUGUAGGCGGUCUUUUAAGUCUGAUGUGAAAGCCCUGGGCUCAACCCAGGAAGUGCAUUGGAAACUGGGAGACUUGAAUACGGGAGAGGGUAGUGGAAUUCCUAGUGUAGGAGUGAAAUCCGUAGAUAUUAGGAGGAACACCGGUGGCGAAGGCGGCUACCUGGACCGAUAUUGACGCUGAGACGCGAAAGCUAGGGUAGC